GCGAGAGUGGCGGAACUGGUAGACGCGCUGGUUUUAGGUACCAGUGGCCUAGCCGUGGGGGUUCGAGUCCCCCCUCUCGCACCA
rnacentral:tRNA from 1 species